rnacentral:rRNA from 1 species
UACGUAGGGUGCGAGCGUUGUCCGGAAUUAUUGGGCGUAAAGAGCUCGUAGGCGGCUUGUCGCGUCGGAUGUGAAAGCCCGGGGCUUAACCCCGGGUCUGCAUUCGAUACGGGCAGGCUAGAGUUCGGUAGGGGAGAAUGGAAUUCCCGGUGUAGCGGUGAAAUGCGCAGAUAUCGGGAGGAACACCGGUGGCGAAGGCGGUUCUCUGGGCCUUACCUGACACUGAGGAGCGAAAGCGUGGGGAGCGAACAG